rnacentral:misc_RNA from 1 species
GCAAACUUGGUCAUUUAGAGGAAGUAAAAGUCGUAACAAGGUUUCCGUAGGUGAACCUGCGGAAGGAUCAUUAUUGAAUAGAAAAAUUGGUCAGGCUGUUGCUGAUCCUUCGGGAUAUGUGCACGCUUGCUGCCAACUUUCUCCUACCACCUGUGCACCUUUUGUAGAUGCUGGACAUUUGUCGUGUGUUCACGCACAUCGGUAUUGAGGACUCUGCUGUGGCUUUUUAGCUACGGCUGUCCUUGCAUGUCUGGCUCUAUGUCUUUUUUCAUAUACGCAUGUCACAGAAUGUAAUUGAUAGGCCUCGUUGCCUUUAAAAUUUAAUACAACUUUCAACAACGGAUCUCUUGGCUCUCGCAUCGAUGAAGAACGCAGC